GCCCACUACAGGUGAUAGUUGUGGAGCAGGAAGGCUGUGCUAGAUGUGUAAGGGAAGUAACUCGUACGACUAGUCAUUCGUCUAAGGGAGGCUACUGCUUCAAUUUAUAGUUUUAGUGGAUCGGAUUUAUUUUUCAAUAUAUAGAUAUUGAUUAAUUCUAUAGAUCACAAUGGAUUUUGAGUGAUAAAAGUUUGGAUUUGAUUUAGAGGUUUGGCGGUUAUCUGUGAUAUUCUAUUGAAAAUUUGGAUAAUUAUAAUUUUAUCAUAUUUACAAAGACAAGUUGGAUGAGAGAGAGUUGUUGAGCUUAAUUUUAAUCAACUGAAAUAGAUUUCAUAAGGAACGUUCAGAAGCGGAUACAAUUUUCUUAUAAAAGCAGUUGUGGAUAUUUGAAUUUAAUCAAUUCUAUUUGGAUGUCAUGAAUCUCGUCAACAUGAUCACGUUUAUUAAAAUCAUCUAUGUUUUAUGUUUUCACAUGGUUUUAGCAGAGGACUGCGCGAAACCUCAGAUUGAAAAUGGAAAUGUCAGACUAAGAAACAAAAAACUCACUGUUCGAUUCGUUUGUAAUAAAAGUUUUACUCUUUACGGCGAUUCAAUGGCC